CAGUGGACGGGAAAAUUGGGCUCGCAUUAGUGAGAGAGUGGGAGGGAGGGAAGGAGGUGAUGGUGUAUACAAAAAGAUAAGAGAUAGAUAAUUGAUGAAUUAAUUGGAGAUAAGGAAGUGAGGAUUGUAGAUGGCAGCUAAUUGUAUGGAUGCAUUAAUUAAAAGUCUGGUCAAGGGAAGGGAAAGGGUCGUAACGAAUAAUUGAAAAUAGAGAGGUUAGGAUUGUAGAUGGUAGUGGGACCAUUUAAAUACACUAAUUGGAUGUUUGGUAGGAUGUUUAGAUGUAUAUUGCAAGUUUAGUGAAGAAGGGGAAGGCUGGUGAAGGUGAAGGAGAACUUGUCACGUGGCAAAAAAUAUUAGAGAUUCAGAUAGGUUAAUAGAUGGUGUCAGAUUUGAUUUAAGUUUCUUUGGUUCUAAGAAAUCCAAGUUUAAUUUUCACUUCUGUCAUUUGAUCUCUCAUAAUUUUUAUGGCCUAAUUUAUCUGAUUUUUAUCAUCGUCGUAAGCAUGAGUGUUAAAACAAUUCUGAUGUUGUUAUUUAUUAGAUCAAUCUUUUGAACAACAAGAACCAU
rnacentral:lncRNA from 1 species